ensembl:snRNA
GUGUUGUAUAAAAGGAGAGACAGGGAUGGAAGAGGCCCUCAGGCCUGACGACACACACACGGUUAGGACACUGCCACCUACUUUGUGGCAUCUAACCAUAGUUUUUU